ACUUGUGACGCAAAGUUUUUUUUUUGUAAAAUUUUUCUUCUACAAUUUUUUGGUCUAAUUUUUGCGUACAAGGACAGAAUAUGUCACCUACAGCGAUGUCAGUUGUUUUUGAAGUAUGCACACGGACUUGCGUCACUUUUACUCUUUGAGUGUUUUUGACUGAUAUCAGUUGUUUUGGAAGUUUGCCCAAGGACUUGCGUCA